AUUGAACGCUGGCGGCAGGCCUAACACAUGCAAGUCGAGCGGAUGACGGGAGAUUGCUCCUUGAUUCAGCGGCGGACGGGUGAGUAAUGCCUAGGAAUCUGCCUGGUAGUGGGGGACAACGUUUCGAAAGGAACGCUAAUACCGCAUACGUCCUACGGGAGAAAGCAGGGGACAUUCGGGCCUUGCGCUAUCAGAUGAGCCUAGGUCGGAUUAGCUAGUUGGUGGGGUAAUGGCUCACCAAGGCGACGAUCCGUAACUGGUCUGAGAGGAUGAUCAGUCACACUGGAACUGAGACACGGUCCAGACUCCUACGGGAGGCAGCAGUGGGGAAUAUUGGACAAUGGGCGAAAGCCUGAUCCAGCCAUGCCGCGUGUGUGAAGAAGGUCUUCGGAUUGUAAAGCACUUUAAGUUGGGAGGAAGGGCAGUAAGUUAAUACCUUGCUGUUUUGACGUUACCGACAGAAUAAGCACCGACUAACUCUGUGCAGCCGCCGCUGUAA
rnacentral:rRNA from 1 species